CGGGCAGGCUGACCCUGCAGUUACCAAGCAUGCACUCCUCAGUGAUCUGACCACCCUCCUCCUCUUUAGGCUCAAGAGGGUCUGUAAGGAUGUGAGUCAGGACAUCCAUCCUGCUCCUCCGCUGCCCCCUCACUGUUCGUCGGAAGCUACGACGCGAUUUAGUCAACCGAGCCUUCAAACGGAAGUAACUACGCUGCACUGCACGUUGCAAAUAUUUGCUUGUCUUGACAGAAGCGACAUCAUACUUUUAAAAACUAUCAAAAAGUUAUUUCUUACCUAAGCCCACCCUUUGUUUUGAUUUUAUAGAGGGGACGGUUUUAGUGACGUACCGUUUUUUUUUCUUCUGGCAGAGAAAUGACGUCGACAAGGGGAGCGCUUAGCUCGCUGUCAUCCUCUACAGGCGGUGAGGCUAAGAACAGUAAGUGCGACGAAAAAGGUGACUUCUUUACCUUUUUUCAUGUAACAACCUGUCGUAUAAAUUGUGAAACGGUAUGUGGCAAGUUCAUACCGUAAUUAAAGUCUAACUGGCGAACUGAGCAAAUGUUAUCGUUUAUGUUACAGACGAGGGUGUACCCUGCCUCUUGCCCAAAGUCAGCGAGGAUAAGCUCCAGCUCACAUAAAGAGGACGAGCGGAUGGAUAAAGUUACAUAGAGUACAUACCCUCUUCUUCAGGCUGUUGAAAUUCCAACUUCCAAUUGUUCAUUUUAGAACUUUUAUGUUCAAAAUCUCUCCUUACCCCAUCUACACAAAGUAGUUCAAAACGGUCAGA